GUGCUUGCUUCAGCAGCACAUAUACUAAAAUUGGAACAAUACAGAGAAGAUUACCAUGGCCCCUGUGCAAGGAUGACAUGCAAAUUCAUGAAGUGUUCCAUAUUUUU
ensembl:snRNA U6 U6 spliceosomal RNA